rnacentral:rRNA from 1 species
UGCGGAAGGAUCAUUACCGAAUUGUCAAACGGGUUGUUGCUGGUCCUUGAAAGGGGACAUGUGCACGCUCUGUUUACACAUCCACUCACACCUGUGCACCCUCCGUAGUUCUAUGGUCUGGGAGACCCUGUCUUCCUGCCGUGGUUCUACGUCUUUACACACACACUGUAACAAAGUCUUAAGGAAUGUAUGCAGCGUCUAACGCAAUACAAUACAACUUUCAGCAACGGAUCUCUUGGCUCUCGCAUCGAUGAAGAACGCAGCGAAAUGCGAUAAGUAAUGUGAAUUGCAGAAUUCAGUGAAUCAUCGAAUCUUUGAACGCACCUUGCGCCCCUUGGCUAUUCCGAGGGGCAUGCCUGUUUGAGUAUCAUGAACACCUCAACUCUCAUGGUUCGCCGUGAUGAGCUUGGACUCUGGGGGAUUUGCUGGCCUGCGGUCAGCUCCCCUCAAAUGAAUCAGCCUCCCGGUGUGUGGUGGCAUCACGGGUGUGAUAAAUAUCUACGCUCGUGGUUGCCUGCCAGGUAACCUUUGGUGACAAAGGUUUGCUGGAGCUUACAGAUGUCUCUCCUCAGCGAGGACAGCUUUUUGGACGUUCGAUCUCAAAUCAGGUAGGACUACCCGCUGAACUUAAGCAUAUCAAUAAGCCGGAGGAA